UGAGAGCCAGCAUGAUCAGAACUUUUAUAAUACUGCUUCAGAUACUCUACUGCUACACUAUACCAGGUGUUGCAGAAGCUGAAGAUGUCACUCAGCCCAGUUUAAUUUGUGCAGAAACGGGUCAAUCAGUCACGAUUGACUGCAAACACAACAAAGGAAGAGACUACAAUCAGAUGUACUGGUACCGGCAGCACCGAGGAGAGUCCAUGAAGCUUGUCGUCUUCAAAGCUAGCUAUGCUCAAAAUCCAGAGUUUGGAGAUGAGUUUGAUCAGAAGAAAUAUUCAACAGUUAAAACAGUUCCAGAGAGUGGAUCAUUAACAGUGGAUAAUCUGAACUCUGCUGACAGUGCUGUGUAUUUCUGUGCUGUAAAAGAACACAGUGUUACAAACACAGGGAGAGGCUGUACAAAAACUUAA